rnacentral:rRNA from 1 species
AACGAACGCUGGCGGCAUGCCUAACACAUGCAAGUCGAACGAUCGCCUGCGGGUGAUAGUGGCCCACGGGUGCGUAACGCGUGGGAAUCUGCCCUUAGGUUCGGAAUAACAGCGGGAAACGGCUGCUAAUACCGGAUGAUAUCGCGAGAUCAAAGAUUUAUCGCCUGAGGAUGAGCGCGCGUUGGAUUAGGUUGUUGGUGGGGUAAAGGCCUACCAAGCCGCCGUACCAUAGAUGGUCUGAGAGGGUGAACAGCGACACCGGGACGAAGCCACAGCCGAGAAUCCUACGGAAGGCAGCAGUGGGGAAUAUUGGAAAAUGGGGGCAAGGAUGAAGCAGCAAUGACGCGUGAGUGAUGAAGGCAGUAGGGAUGUAAUGCUCAUUUAACCGGGAAGAUAAUGACUGUACCGGGAGAAUAAGCCACGGCUAACUCCGUG